rnacentral:lncRNA from 1 species
AAAAGUAGCUCUGUGAUUCUGCUGUGGAUCUCUGUUGCAUCUGCAGUUCUGGUUUUCUUUCCACAGUCUUGUGACUUCCACUCAUGGUCUCAGCAUAGCUGCAGAAGGUCUUGCCAUCACCUGUACAUUCUAAACAGGCAGAAGGAGAAGGGAAAAGGGCAUAAGUCAAGUGCCAGCCGGCUUUAUCACCUUUCAGGUUCAGCCAAAGGGACUGUUUCUAAGGAGACCGCUGGGGAGGCGGUUUUAGCGACGCUGCUGUUGCUGGAGCUGCAGGUGAUACAGGCUGCGCGCCGCACUCUCGCUGCUGCUCUGCGCGCUGCGAGGCGUCGCUGGAGUGGCACUCUGGUUUAUCCGGUGGAUAUCCGUCACUGAGGCUUCCCAGGCGGCUCAGUGGUAAAGGAUCCUUUUGCUGACACACGAGCCGCAGGAGACGCGGCUUCGAUCGCUGGACCGGGGAGAUCGCCGGAGGAGGACAUGUCACCCUGCUCCAGUCUUCCUGCCUGGAGAAUCCCGUGGACAGAGGAGCCCGGGGGGCUUCAGGCCACGGGGUCACACAGAGUCGGACACGACCGGACGACUGAGCACAGGCGCGCAGGCAGAUCGCAAAGCCGAAUUCCACAUUAACUUGGAAUUUGUUCUUUUGAGAAUUGCGCUGCCUCAGGCAUUCUGUGGUAAAUCUAUAUCUGCACAAUUAAAAACAGAGGUUUGGAAAGGAAAUUAGUAAUGAAAUGAGAUAAAGAAAUAACAAAAAGUAAAUUUUAAGCAACUUUACAGCACAAUGGUUUGUUAUUUCUAGAAUAUACUAAAGUUUUUACAAGUUUCACUUAAAAUGUUUAGGUUUUUUUAAACCUCAUUUCCUUAGUAGUAUUAGGAGAGAUAGUUGAACAUCGCAAAAUUACAAAAAUCUAAGUUCUGAGGAACACAGAACUUUAAAUUAAUCCAUAUUUUGUCUGUACUUUCCUCCUGAUGUAACUAGUUCAAUGAGAUUAUAGUAUAUGUAUGCCUGUGGUGGAUUCAUUUUGAUGUUUGGCAAAACUAAUACAAUUAUGUAAAGUUUAAAAAUAAAAAUAAAAAAAGCUAUUUGCUUUUUUCUCUG